UACGUAGGGUCCGAGCGUUGUCCGGAGUACUGGGCGUAAAGCGCGCGCAGGCGGCCCGCGGGGUGUCGACGUGAAAGCCCCGGGCUCAACUCGGGAGGGUCGUGGCAAACCGGCGGCUUGAGGCCGGUAGAGGUGGGUGGAACGUCCUGGUGGAGUGGUGAAGUGCGUAGAGAUCAGGAAGAACACCCGUGGCGAAGGCG
rnacentral:rRNA from 1 species